rnacentral:rRNA from 1 species
GAUCCAGAGAUUUCCGAAUGGGGAAACCCAGCAUGAGUUAUGUCAUGUUAUCGAUAUGUGAAUACAUAGCAUAUCAGAAGGCACACCCGGAGAACUGAAACAUCUUAGUACCCGGAGGAAGAGAAAGAAAAUUCGAUUCCCUUAGUAGCGGCGAGCGAAACGGGAAGAGCCCAAACCAACAAGCUUGCUUGUUGGGGUUGUAGGACACUCUAUACGGAGUUACAAAGGACGACAUUAGACGAAUCAUCUGGAAAGAUGAAUCAAAGAAGGUAAUAAUCCUGUAGUCGAAAAUGUUGUCUCUCUUGAGUGGAUCCUGAGUACGACGGAGCACGUGAAAUUCCGUCGGAAUCUGGGAGGACCAUCUCCUAAGGCUAAAUACUCUCUAGUGACCGAUAGUGAACCAGUACCGUGAGGGAAAGGUGAAAAGCACCCCGGAAGGGGAGUGAAAUAGAACCUGAAACCGUGUGCUUACAAGUAGUCAGAGCCCGUUAAUGGGUGAUGGCGUGCCUUUUGUAGAAUGAACCGGCGAGUUACGAUUUGAUGCAAGGUUAAGCAGUAAAUGUGGAGCCGUAGCGAAAGCGAGUCUGAAUAGGGCGUUUAGUAUUUGGUCGUAGACCCGAAACCAGGUGAUCUACCCUUGGUCAGGUUGAAGUUCAGGUAACACUGAAUGGAGGACCGAACCGACUUACGUUGAAAAGUGAGCGGAUGAACUGAGGGUAGCGGAGAAAUUCCAAUCGAACCUGGAGAUAGCUGGUUCUCUCCGAAAUAGCUUUAGGGCUAGCCUCAAGUGAUGAUUAUUGGAGGUAGAGCACUGUUUGGACGAGGGGCCCCUCUCGGGUUACCGAAUUCAGACAAACUCCGAAUGCCAAUUAAUUUAACUUGGGAGUCAGAACAUGGGUGAUAAGGUCCGUGUUCGAAAGGGAAACAGCCCAGACCACCAGCUAAGGUCCCAAAAUAUAUGUUAAGUGGAAAAGGAUGUGGCGUUGCCCAGACAACUAGGAUGUUGGCUUAGAAGCAGCCAUCAUUUAAAGAGUGCGUAAUAGCUCACUAGUCGAGUGACACUGCGCCGAAAAUGUACCGGGGCUAAACAUAUUACCGA